ACGGGCUAUUACAAUCUCUCUCCAAUUCUCUGGUUCUUCAAUUCAAAGGCCUCUUCCUUUCAUUUCAUUCAAAUCCCUCCAAAACACCACCAACUACAUCCGAAUUCGAACAAAUCGUAUCUUCUCAAGUUCAAGCUCUCAAGUUCGCAUCCACUAAAAUCUGUCGAGCACCUUUUUAGUUUUACGGCGAGCGAACGAAAGUAAGACCUUCAGCGAACGAACGAAAGUCAUUCAUGAGUAAGACCUUUUCGUUUUUCGGCGAGCGAACGAACGAAAGAAAAUUCUGAUUUUCCGUUUCUCGUUUUCAGCACUUUAACAGAUCUGGAAAUCGUUCUUGUCGAAGUCGUCUCCCUCGAGUCAUUGGAAAACUCGGCCUUAAUCUUUUCACAUGGAAUAGGAAUUGUACCCAGAUAUAUAGUUACUUAUAACAUUAUUUUCAGAUGGAAUUGUUGUAGAUUCAAUUUUAGUUUAACAUUUCAUUGUAUCUAUAUUAUUAUAGUGGUUCGUAAUACAUAUAUGACCUUAUUAAUGCAAAAAUACAUUUUUUUGUAUCUAUAUUAUUAGGCAGUUUGAUUGUGAUU